UCAGGAAAAUCACAGCUAUUCUUCCUCCUCUGUAAGGGUCAUUUGUGAGAUGACUCUGUCCUUACCUGCAGGAGUGCACAUGAUUGCCUGGGAGUAUUAAGGUGGAUCUGCUCAUGUCAAAAUAAAUGAGCAGAGGUGGUAACUAAGCUGAUGCGCAGGUGAGUUAAGUUACUCACGUGCAACGGCUCAUGACAUGUUGAAUAAGCACGAAUCCUCUUUGCUUUCGGGCAGGACAUGAUUGGCUUACUGCGGGAAGGGCUCGUGAAAAGGGUGGACGGGGAGAGGAUAAGAAGGAGGUACCCGGAAGGAAGGGCAGAGCCGCGUUAGUAGUCAGAGAUGUAACAAUGAAAGAGUAUACUCUGAAAGUAUGUUGGGGUGUUCUGUGGAGUCAUUUGUCCAGUGCAGCUGGAGCCGGAGACGUCCGAAGCCUGUUGAGGAGAGCUUUCUUUCUGAAGUUCUCAUGUGUUAUUGGCUGAACACUAAGAGAUGCAGAUAGCCUGGCAUCCCCUCAAAGAUAACACCAGUAUCAUUCAGCAAAACUUGGAAACAAGGAUGCAGGUGCCUUUCCUGCAUCCCAGACAGGCACAGCAAGGCCUUUACACUGCAAUGCACCCACUGCAAAGUAUGACUCCCCCUGCAAAGAUUUGUAUUGAAGACAAAAUAAGAAGACAAGAAAAGAGAAGGAAGGACGAUGGGAGGGUAUAGCAAAAAAUAAGAGUUGCAGAAUAAGUGGACCAGUGGAUAGAAAACUGGUACUGAAGUCAGGAAGACCUGAGUUUAAAUCCACCAUGAAACACUUAGCAGCUAUGUGACUUUGGGCAAGUCAUUUCACCACUGCUUGUUUCCUCAUCUGUAAAAUGGGGAUAAUAAUAGCAUCUACCUCCCAAGGUUGUUGUGAGGACCACAUGAGGAAAAAAAAAGCAUUUAGCAUAGUGCCUGCCAUGUAAUAAGCAGUAUAUAAGUGUUAGUUGUUGUUGUUGUUGUUGUUAUCAGUCUAAAUCAAUUUACCAAUUAUCAAGUUAUUGUUAUCAAUCUAUAUGUGCCACUGUUAAGAUCAAGAGGAGAGGGCAAUAGGAAAGCACCCAAAAGGGGGCAAGAAAUAGAUUUAAAACUGAAUUAUUUUCCCAGAGUUUACUCUCUAGCUGGGGGCUUAGAGCUAUAGAAGAAAAAGUUUUUGAUUCAUUUUUUAAUACUCAAGAUCAGAAAAGUAUUAUUUAUAUUGUGAUUGCCUAGCAAUGAGGUAGCAGUAGUGAAAGCUCUAGCUAGAUGGGGCUCAGUCAUCUUCAAAUGCUUAAUGUGAGGGAAAAUUCUCUUCCAAAGGGGACCCAAAGAAGUGAGUUAGAAAGUGUGAUUGAUAGUACUACCAACCUGUUCAUUAAUGCAGCAUGGAUAUUUAUCACCCCACCAUUGCUAACUGUAAAAUGAAAUGAUUAGAUUAAGAUCCAAGAUCACUUCCAGCUCUAAAUACUAUGACACUAUGAAUAUUUCUUUCUACAUAUGCUACAUGCAGUUUUGAAUUAAACAACUAAUCCUAUUAUCUAAAUAAUCCAAGCCAAAAACUCAUAGUCCCAUAGAAUAUACGAAGUGAGUGAAGUAUGUGACUAACAUCUACUUUCUAUAAACAAAAGAAAUGUUACAUACCAAAGCUCUCACCAGCUCACAUGGACAGAAACUUAAAACUGGAUCCAGUCGUUAUUUGUGGUGU
rnacentral:lncRNA from 1 species